AUGCACCCGACGAAACCAGCUGGCGUGACGCCGAGGUCGGCACCGCCGGGCGCCGGAGAGUGGCGGCCGUCUGGCGUCGUCAGGCUGCUGCAGGCGCCGGCGGUGGUGGCGCUGGCCGCGGUGCUCGCCGUGGCGUCGCCGGCGCAAGCUCGGCCAGCUGGUGCACCCCCUCCGACCCCUCCGACCCAGCAGAAGGCGGCGGACACGGCGCCGGAGGACACGAUGUGCGACGUGCCGCGGACGCUGUCCGGGGAGGACGGCAAGGAGGCCGAGCGGAUCAAGCACCCGAGGUCGCGCGAGGCGGCGCGGUGCACCUCCAAGUGCGUCAGCACCUGCGUCCUCGGCGGCGCCGGCGCGCCCGGCGUCGGCGGGCCCUUCAACGUCCGGAGACCCCUCGUGGUGUUCAAGGAAGGUUUCCGCAGUCGACAGUACUGCCUGGUGGAGUGCUCCGACGUCUGCAACCUAAUCAAGGACGGAGAAGACGGGCAAUGA
rnacentral:rRNA from 1 species